GAUGAAGAACGCAGCGAAAUGCGAUAAGUAAUGUGAAUUGCAGAAUUCCGUGAAUCAUCGAAUCUUUGAACGCACAUUGCGCCCCCUGGUAUUCCGGGGGGCAUGCCUGUCCGAGCGUCAUUGCAACCUUCAAGCGCGGCUUGUGUGUUGGGUCUCGUCCCCCGUGGACGGGCCCGAAAGGCAGUGGCGGCGUCCCGACAUGGUGCCCGAGCGUAUGGGAAUCCUCUUCCGCUCGAAUCGGCCCAUGCGGCGCUGGUCGUAACCAAAUUUUUUACCGGUUGACCUCGGAUCAGGUAGGGAUACCCGUUGAACUUAAGCAUAUCAAUAAGCGGAGGA
rnacentral:misc_RNA from 1 species